GUAGGUGGCAAGCGUUGUCCGGAAUUAUUGGGCGUAAAGCGCGCGCAGGCGGUUCUUUAAGUCUGAUGUGAAAGCCCACGGGCUCAACCGUGGAGGGUCAUUGGAAACUGGAGAACUUGAGUACAGAAGAGGAAAGCGGAAUUCCACGUGUAGCGGUGAAAUGCGUAGAGAUGUGGAGGAACACCAGUGGCGAAGGCGGCUUUCUGGUCUGUAACUGACGCUGAGGCGCGAAAGCGUGGGGAGCAAACAGGGUUAGAUACCCUGGUAGUCCACGCCGUAAACGAUGAGUGCUAAGUGUUAGGGGGUUUCCGCCCCUUAGUGCCGCAGCUAACGCAUUAAGCACUCCGCCUGAGGAGUACGGCCGCAAAGGCUG
rnacentral:rRNA from 1 species